rnacentral:tRNA from 1 species
GCCGGUGUAGCUCAAUUGGCAGAGCAACUGACUUGUAAUCAGUAGGUUGGGGGUUCAAGUCCUCUUGCCGGCACCA